AAGCUUGCCGAGGCGGACAGACCCCACUGGGAUGAUGCUCAUCAACGGAUUCCAGGGCUACAGAGGUCAAGGCUGGAUUGCCUUUCACAGCGAAACCAUUAAACGCAGUGAGCAAGGAAGCCUAUGCCUACACCUUCUCCUCCCCCAACAGUCCACCCUCACCACCUGUCCACCCAGCCUGGCUCCUACAAUGGCCGCUGCCUCAUGUAUAGCACUUGCUAAAUAGGCAUGAGAUGUGCCUACACUGGGUUUAUCGUUGCCCCAACAGAGUUGGAUGCUUCUAACACCAUCCUAAAUCACCUGAGAGCUUACUGGACACUCAGUGUUAUGUAUCUGUUGGUAUUCUAAGCUCCACCCCCCAGCUACCAGGGAACAGCCAGCUCCUGGGGAUCUGUCAAGUGGCUUUGACCAACUGACCAGUGGAUGAGGAGGCAAGCUGCAGGAGAGGUCCCACUGGAUUCAAAUCCAGAGGAAUAAAGCACACAACAUGCCAAGCAGAGUGACCUGGUUCAUUAAGAACGCUCCAUUGCACGGGGAUUCGAUCCUGGAAAACAACAUGGCCCUGGGCGGACAGUGACCAUCUUUAUGCUUGUGGCUGUGGCCACUGCAUACUCAGCAGCAGUUGGACAACUGCUAGGCUUCCCAGGCCACCUGAAGAGAUGUAAUGUGGGCCUUAGACCAAGUCAACACCAGUCUCAUCAAAGAACGAGGGUUCCUGUUGGACAGGUCAUUAGUAGAGGAAUUUUCAUUCCUCUAUUAUAGGCAAAAAUUCCAACACUUCUGUGGCAUCACUGAUCUCUAAUUACAUAGCUUCUGGGUAACUGUA
rnacentral:lncRNA from 1 species